GUCCUUAUCAUGUAUUGAUAAAGGCACACAACACGAGUGUAACAUACAACGUUUAAGGAUUAUAACAGAUAAGAGAGGCAAGAUGAGAUAUCUCUUUGUUUUUCUGGUAAUGUUACCAUUUGUCUUUACCACACCGUCAAAGCGGUUUCUCUUGGAUUCUUUUGGCAGAGAAUUGGCAAUACACGAGAUAACACAAUGGAUUGCCUGUAAUCCAGGCAUGACUCAUGAUACAUGUGUUGCCGAAUGCCCGAAAUUACAUAUCUCCCAUACUUAUUUCUGCGGCCUUGCUUGUACAUCGAUCCUUAAGUCGAUACAAGAUGGCCAUUCCAGUGUUACGUGUGCAACUGGAUAAAUGAAAAGUUUAUUAAGACUUCUUCAAGAUUUCAAUCAAGUUGGAUAUUGACUCAAAUUUUAGACAUUAAAUAAAGUUCUGAUAUUUA